GUCUGUAUGAGGAUUUAUAAGUCUGGCCUGCCCACUGGUGUAAAGCUAAAGGGCCGCGGUAUUUUAACCGUGCGAAGGUAGCAUAGUCAUUAGUCUUUUAAUUGAAGGCUUGAAUGAAUGGUUGAACAAGAGGUAAACUGUCUCAGAAAUAAAGGUUGAAAUUAACUUUUAAGUGAAAAGGCUUAAAUACCUUAAAGGGACGAUAAGACCCUGUAAAGCUUAAUAAUUCUACGAGUGGAUAAAUAAAUUGUUUAGUGGCAAUGUUACUCACUUGUUAAAUUAUUUCGUUGGGGUGACGAGGAUAUAAUUUGUAACUGUCUAAAUUUAAAGUCAAGGAUGCUUGUAUUCGAUGAUCCAUAAUUGGUGAUUAAAAAUUUAAGUUACUUUAGGGAUAACAGCGUUAUUUAUUUUGAGAGUUCAUAUCGAUAAAAAAGUUUGCGACCUCGAUGUUGAAUUAAAAUUCCUCCUUGGUGUAGUAGCUACGGAGU
rnacentral:rRNA from 1 species